GACAGAGGAUGCAAGCGUUAUCCGGAAUGAUUGGGCGUAAAGCGUCUGUAGGUGGCUUUUCAAGUCCGCCGUCAAAUCCCAGGGCUCAACCCUGGACAGGCGGUGGAAACUACCAAGCUGGAGUACGGUAGGGGGCAGAGGGAAUUUCCGGUGGAGCGGUGAAAUGCGUAGAGAUCGGAAAGAACACCAAUGGCGAAAGCACUCUGCUGGGCCGACACUGACACUGAGGAGCGAAAGCGUGGGGAGCGAACAGG
rnacentral:rRNA from 1 species